rnacentral:rRNA from 1 species
AACGACCACUGGAGGACCGGGUGUACCUAAAGUCGGUAACCGCAAGGAGCUGCCUAGGGUAAAAUCGGUGACUGGGGCU